UGGCAUAUUAACAGUGUUUCCCAUGAGGGCCCAGUGUGCAAUGGUUGCAAACAGUAGCCUCCUUGUAGUGUAUGCAGCCUGUUGAUUGUUUGGGUUUUCCUCAGAGACCUUGGAGACAGCC
rnacentral:snoRNA from 1 species